CCUUUGACGUUAGCGGCGGACGGGUGAGUAACACGUGGGUAACCUACCUAUAAGACUGGGAUAACUUCAGGAAACCGGAGCUAAUACCGGAUAACAUUUGGAACCGCAUGGUUCUAAAGUGAAAGAUGGUUUUGCUAUCACUUAUAGAUGGACCCGCGCCGUAUUAGCUAGUUGGUAAGGUAACGGCUUACCAAGGCGACGAUACGUAGCCGACCUGAGAGGGUGAUCGGCCACACUGGAACUGAGACACGGUCCAG
rnacentral:rRNA from 1 species